CUCCCUGUCCCCUCCCCCUCCCCUUCCAGCCGGAAGGAGGCGAGGAGGGGCGCGGCCGGAAGGCGCGGCCAUAGAGUGGCGGCCAGAGCGCCUGGGUGCCCCCCCCGCCCCCAACCAUGGCCAGCCUGGAGGCGGAAGCGGCAGCGGCCGGAAAGAUGGAGGCGGCAGCGGCCAGCGGCGGCAGCAGGAGCAGGAUGAGGAGCGGGGCGCCGUUGUCGCUGCUGCUCCGGGGGCUGCUCCUCUGCGGCCUGGCGGCAGGUCCCGGCUGGUGCAACUCCGUGGAGAGGAAGAUCUAUAUCCCACUGAACGUGACCGCGUCGUGUGUCCGCCUCCUGAACGCCACCCACCAGGUCGGCUGCCAGUCCUCCAUAAAUGGGGACACUGGCGUCAUCCACGUUGUGGAAAAGGAAGAGGACCUGAAAUGGGCCCUGGUGGACGGGCCGCACCCGCCUUACAUGGUGCUGCUGAGUGGGACGCUCUUCACCGGGCCUCUGAUGCAGAAGCUGAAAGGCAGCUCGCGGAUCUCCGGGCUGGUGGUGACCGUCGCCAGGCCCUCGGAGGGGUUCUCCCCUGGCUUGAAAUGUCCCAAUGACGGCUUUGGUGUCUACAACAGCAGUUACGGCGCUGAAUACGCUCACUGCAACGCGACCAUCUGGAAUCCACUUGGCAACGGUCUGUCCUACCAGGACUUUGACUUCCCCAUCUUCCUCCUUCAAGACGCGAAUGAAACUGAGGUUAUCAAGCAGUGCUUCCAAGACUACAACCUCCCGCGCAACGGCUCCGCCCCCCAGUACCCGCUCUGCGCCAUGCAGCUCUUCUCCCACAUGCACGCCGUGACCAACACCCUCACCUGCAUGCGCCGUAGCGCCAUCCAGAGCUCUUUCAGCCUCAGCUCAGAAGCAGUCUGUGACCCCCUCGUUGACUCCAACGUUUGGAGCACGGUGAAGCCCAUCAACGCCUCCGCGAAGCCAGAGAACAAGAGCAUCAUCAUGGCCACGACCCGGAUCGACAGCCAUUCUUUUUUCUGGAACGUGGCUCCUGGGGCCGAGAGCGCCGCUGGGUCCUUCAUCACCCUCUUGGCUGCGGCUGAAGCCAUUCACAAGAUCCCCGACGUGACGGCGUUGCCCAAAAACAUCAUGUUCACCUUCUUCCAGGGGGAGACCUUUGACUACAUCGGCAGCUCCCGCAUGGUCUACGACAUGCAGCGAGACAAGUUCUCCAUCACCCUGGACAGCAUCCAGUACUUCCUGGAGUUGAGUCAGGUGGCGCUGAGGCAGGAUUCCACGCUGUGGAUGCACACGGAUCCGGUGUCUCGGAGGAGCCAGUCGGCUGAGAUCAAGGCCAUGAUGGACGCCUUGACCAGCAGCGUUCAAGAUACCAGCGUGGUCAUGCAGGAGGUCGGCGUGUCCCAGCCUCUCCCACCGUCGUCCUUCCAGCGAUUCCUGAGGGCCAAGGAGAUCCCCGGGGUUGUCUUGGCUGACCACCGCACCUCCUUCCAGAACAGAUACUACCAGAGCAUCUACGACACCUUGGAGAACAUCCUGCCUGCGGAGGACCUCGAGGGGCUGAGCCCCGAGGAAGCCCUGAGCCGCCUGACGAACGCCUCCCAGCCCCUGGCAGACGUGGCCACCGUGGUUGCCCGUGCGCUCUACCAGCUUGCGGGGGGAAGCGGCAGCCCUGCGGAGAUCCGGGCCGAUCCAGCGACGGUUGGGCGCUUGCUGUACGGCUUCCUGGUUCGCUCCAACAACUCCUGGUUCCAGUCGAUCAUUAAGCCAGAACUCAAAGUGAUUCUGGUCAACAACCCCCUCCAGUUCUACACGGCUGUCAAUAGCCCCGUGAACGCCACCCACCUCGUCCACUACGUCUUGGCCAAUCUCACAGGCCAAGAGAUCAACAAGACCAAAGAGGACUGCCUGGACAAGACCGCCAAGUCCGACCGAGGCUUGUACGAGUACCUCUGGGUGCAGGGCAGGCUGGCCCCCAACUCCACGACCGAGCGGGAGCCCUACUGUGUCCGGUCGACGGUCCGCCUCACCCCGGCCUCCUCGCCGGCCUUUGAGCUCCGGGACUGGGCCUCCACGGAGUACUCCACAUGGACGGAGAGCCGCUGGAAGGAGGUGAAGGCCCGGAUCUUCCUGGUGGCCAGCAAGCAGCUAGAGAUCGUCACGCUGAUCGUGGGCAUCGCCAUCCUGAUCGUCUCGUUCGUCGCCACCUACUUCAUCAACGCCAAAGCCGACGUGCUUUUUACCACUCCGGGGGAAUCCGGAGCCGUGGCAUAUUGAAACCGACUGGCCUAGCAAAUCUCGGUCAAAUCGCUUAAACACAGGUGUGUGCGAGAGACGGACAGAACUGCAGGUCUCUUGCAUCAGUGACACACUCUGUGGAAUGGUGUGAAGAAAUGGCCCUGUUCUUCAUUGCUGGGUUUGCUGUCGGGAGCCCACGCCCCCCACCCCCUUUGGACUUUGGCUGUGGGGUUCUGUUCGACUGAGGGGGGCCCCUUCUUUGCUUAAAUGAAACGGGCAGCAAAAAAACCCCAAUUUCUUGUGUGGUGUGCGAGGGGGAGAAAAAUGCCCUGCUGCCUGCACCAUUCCCGAUGUCUUCGCCACGUCCCCCUCCUGAAAUCGGUUCAGUUUGGGGAUUUGUCUCCCUGGGUUGCGUGCGUGCGUGUGUGUGUGUGUGUGUGUGUGUGUGUGUGUGUGUGUGUGUGUGUUUCCUACUGCUUUGGAAGGAGGCCUUUCAUCCGCUUGCCUCCCCCUCCUCCCAGCCCUUGGAUCUGCUGCCUGGCAAGGCCUGGAAGCAGCUGCCUCGCUUGUCUGUGCCUCCAUCACUCCACGGACGGCCAACAGGUCUCCCCGCGGACGGCACAGUCGGCUCUCGCUACCCCCCCAUUUGCUGGCUGCGGGAAACUGAGCAGCAGAGGGACGGGCUGGGACCCAAAGGCUGCCCAGCCUGGAAAAGGCAGCCUGGUCUGCUCCGAAGAGAAACCCCUGCCCCGGCGGCUCUGGGCUCCCUUGAUGCAGGGGCCUCAUUAGGGGCUGGUCCAUGGGGCAUGGGCCCCCCAGUGGAAUGGCUCAGAGCCCCAAACCUCACCGGCCAGCUCCCAGAAAGCGGGGGGGGGCAGCAAUGGAGGCACCUGCACAGGGCGUGGCAGGGAGCUCCAAGCCUCACCUGGCCUUCAGAGGUGUGCGCUUAUAAUAUUCAAGACUUUAAAAACACACACACCGGGUUACGACUGAGUUUAAUUCUCCAAGGGGAGGCUGUGUGCGUUCGGGGCCGGGGUCUUCCCACUGACUUCCCCACAGCCCUGCCUUGAGGGGGUUGCCCUGAUGAGGGUCUUCCUCGGAAGGCACAGGUGGUAGCAAGCUGUCCUGCAGGCGUCGUGUCGCCUCACUCUUGGCCGCCGUGGCUGGGGGUGAUGGGAGCUGCGGUCCAGAAACAGCUGGAGGGCCCGAAGUCUCUAGCCCUGCUCUAACCACUACGCCACCCUGCCUCCGGGCACCCCUUCCGCUGCCCCCUCCCCCGGGACGAGCUCCUUUUUAGCUUCUGGUGAUUUCAGGGCGUGUUGUGGGCUUAGACGCCAGGUGAGUCCCUUUGCAGCUGAAGUUUUUGGGGUGUGUGUGUGUUUGUGUGUGUGUUAAGCAGGGAUCAGAGCGCUGGGGCUUUCUCCUCUGCCCGUUCUGCCAAAGGGGUUGGAAGCUCCACACACCCAGGAACACAGCUGGAGAGCUGCCGGCCUCCUAUUCCCCAGACUUCCUCCGUGAAUUAGAGCAUUCCUAAUGCUAAUAAGCCGCGGUGGGUGAACCCUGCGUAGGACCUGGUCUUUGGACUGUGUCGGAGAUGGAGAGGGGGGCUUCUAGCAAGUGCCCACCAUGGGGCAGGCUCUGGUCAAGUCCGGAGCAUGGGGAGAGCCCUGUAGCAUCAGGCCAAAGGUUCCCACACCCUAGAAAUCAAGAACGGCCGAACAGCUAAGACACUGAGUCUUGAGUUCAGAUCUCUGCCAGGUGCUCAGGAGGUGAAUUCUUGUCUUGGGCUAGCCUCUCUGGGUUAUGGGGAGUAUCAUACAGACUGACUUGACAGGCUUGUCGUAAGGUAGAGGCUCCCAAACAUGGGAUACAUUGGACUACAACUCCCAUCAUGCCCUGCCGCACUGGCUGAGACCAUUGUGAUGGGAGUUGUAAUCACACAACUGAUGACCCACACGGGUGUUGCUUGGUACUUAAAAGGUGUUGGUCCUGAUGAUUAGGUGUAACCAUAUCUAGAAUUAAGAAAUAGUUUUGUCUAGAAUUCUGAAUAUAUAUUUAAGAAAAGGUGUUCAGAUAACUUCACAUAAGGAAAUGUGUUCUGGCCUUUACUCGCGCAAGCUUCUUGCUUGCUUCAGAUGCCUCCGUCUCCUACAGCAUGGGGAAGAAACUGGUCUCUGUGUGGAAAUAUACCAGACCAAGAAAUAUAGGAACAGGUGAAAAGGUAGAGCGGCGUGUCUCAAUCCGGGCAAUUCAGGUUUCACAAGUCCUUAAGAUGAUAAAAAUGAAGGAUUAGAAGAAGCAGAAACUUCUGUGACUUCAGGCCUCUAAAGGACACUGGGGAAAAAAUAUUGCAUGUAUUUCAAUUUUCCCCAAAAUUUCAAAAGAACAAAAAUGGGAAGAAAGGGGUUCCCCCCCCCCAUAACUUCAAAGUUCUGGAAAAUUUACAUCUCUAACCAUACCCCCCACCCCCCGCCCCAAGCUUAAUUAUGUAUAUUUUGAAAGAAUCUACAGUAUAAUAAUUCAGCACUAUGGGAAGCACCUCUGUCGGGCAGCAGCGAUCUAGGAAGGUGCUGAAAGGCAUCAUCUCAUACUGCGCGGGAGGAGGCCAUGGCAAACCCCUCCUGUAUUCUACCAAAGACAACCACAGGGCUCUGUGGGCCGUCACGAGUCGAUACACCGACUCGCCGGCUGGGCAGGGCCAGGAGUGCUCUCUCGCGAUCUCUGCAGGUGCACUGAUGACCCACACUGGAAUUGUGGGUCCUUUCUGGAAGAGGUCCUGGAGGAGGGAGGUGGCUGAUGAGAUUCGGGGCUCUGAGCCAUUCAUUGGGGGUCUGUGCCCUGUGGCCCACCCGCUCAUGAUGCCCCGAACCUCCUCUUGUCAGGGCACAAACAGUACGUGGAGCCAUUUGUACAGCCUUAAAGCAUUAUUGUGCUUUGAAACCCUUCUCUUGCUCUGAUCCAUACAACAAGCCUGUAAGGUUGGCCAGGCGGUCCAGCUCUGGGGUUGGGGGGUUUAUUUCUUCAAGACCAUGAUAGAGGAAGGGGUGUGUGUGUGUGUGUGUGUGUGUGUGUGUGUGUGUGUACGUACGUACCAGAGAGGACAAAUAUAAUUGUUAAAACCAAGACAUGUGCUACUUAAUUCCUGAAAACACACACACAGAGACACACUCCAAUUUUUCCUCCUUGGUUCAUGCUUCUCCUCCUGUCCCCCACCUUACCAUCUUUGCUGAUCUGUGACCCGGUAUUUGGGCUCAUGGGAGAAUUCCCUUCAACCAGACUAGCUUUGCUUUGGUAAUUAGUGGCGGCAGCAGGGGAAAUUAUUCAAAAGCAGGCAGAGAGUCAACAAUUUUCUUUUGCAGUGUGGCAGCCGCCUUGGAAGCGGCUUCUUCUGCCCUUGUUAAAAGAUGCGUCUGUUUGGGUUUGGAGCUGGGGGACCAGAACCUUGAGUGUCACCACCGACGACAAGGAUGGGGUGUCAUCUAUGGGGUACAGUGGGGCGGUACUUGCCUCUUAAGCCCUCCCUCUCUCAAAUGUUUAGAAAAUUUAAAAAAAACAACAAAAAAACCCUUGCAGCUCUGUUUUUACUUUCCAGUAGAGUUCUGGUGAAAACACCGCUAAAAAUAUGCAUGCACAAUAUCUGAUCAAUUUUAAACUGGGGUGGGUGAAACCUAAUUAGGAAAGCAGACCCUCACCCAUCCACGCACUCAUUCCCUCUCUAAACCUUUGAUCAAAUUUUUAUUUCUCUCUCGCACACACAUUUUAGAGGGGGCAGGACAUGGAAAUGCUCCCUCAGAUUUUGGUGCUCUGCCCUGUUUUGGAUCGAUUCUCCCGUUUAUAUUGUUUCUGGUAAUUCCCUGGAGGAAAUCCAUGGGAGGACAUAUGGCUUCCAAAAUCCAGGAGGGGGGGGUUUCCUGUGACAACUUCUUGAUAAAUUAUAAACCAAUCUACCGUACCUUCUCUAGAAGAUGGAAUUUAGAUGUUUCUAUCUUUCUUGUCCCUAUAUAGGCAGCUUUUUUUUUUUUGCAUCACUCACAGAGAAGUGUGUGUUUGUGUAAAGAAAAGAAAUGGAUGUUUGUGCAUUUAAACAAUUCAAGGGUCCCGUCCCCCGCAAUUUAUGAAUUUUAUUUCAGAUAACAUUGCAGACAAAUUCCUUCCCAGUCACAGUAAGCCAUCCAAUAUAACCAAAUUCAACCCAGUUUAACCCAGAUAGUGGUAAACCUCUACAUUUCUAUACCGCCCAAAACUCAAGUUCUCCGGUCGGUUUACAAAACAAUAAAAACAGCCAAUAAAAGAUUAAAACAUUUUAAUAAUUAAAAAUAAAAAGUUAAAACUAUUAAAACACAAUUAAAACAAUUAAAACAGUAUCUAAGUUCAAGUACAUUUAAAUGAAAUCUCAUAUUCUUGUCCUCCUUACACCUUCCUCUGUUUCCCCUCUGUAAAGUUUGUUUAUUGAUUUGAUUUCAUUUCAUUUCAUUUCAUUUGUAUACCCUUGUUCCCCUUGGGUUUGUUUGUUUGUUUCUUUGAUUUAUAUAACGCCCUUCCAAAAUGGCUCAGGGCGGUUUACAAGAAGGUCAAAACAAUUAAAACAAGUUAACAGUUAAAAUCAAACUAUAAAAACAGAAUAAAACCAAUUAAACAAUUCAAACCACUAAAACAAACAAACAAAAAAAAAAAAACCUGGAGAACCAGGGCAACAAUUUAAAACAGUUUUUCAGUCAUUUAAAAACCCUGGAAGGCCAGGCCAACCAGCUAGGUUUUAACAGAUUGUAAACCUGUCUUCUUUUUUUUAGCAGUACCAUGCGCAUUGAGGAAGCUAUUUAAAUAACAGCAACAACUAACACCUUGGCUGAAAUUAAAUCUAUGCAUAUAUCGUCUUUCAGUUCCCAGCAGCUGCCUUGAUAUUCUUCAUCCAAAUAAUCCGGCAAUAUUCCAAACGGCGCUGACCGCCUUGGUCUUAGAUCAGGUGUUUGCAAGAUCUACAUCCUGUAUUUGUGACUGAUUCCAGCAGAGCUGAUGCCAGAGGAGGGCCAGUGUGGUGCCCCAUCACCCACCCCUGGCAAAUAAUUUCCCCUCCCUAUUUCUGGACCCAUUGUUGGAUCAUAUCCUGGUAAUUUAAAUUGGGUGCAAGUUUGGUAAGGUUAACUCCAUCAACAUCAGCACACAUUUCCAAAGAAAAAUGGUUUAGGAUGGGAGCCUUGAUAUGAAAUAGACCAUCACUGGGAGGGUGGGGCCUGUCAUUGACCGGGCAAAGUCAUUUUGUGUCGGUAACACUCAUAGGAAAAUUCAAGAAAUUAAAUAUGUAUGAACAUUUUUUUAUUAAUGUGCUUACAAAAGGGAAUUAAAAGAACAGAUUGAAAUUUGUAGGAUUUCAACUUCAAUUCCCCCCCCCCCAUUUUAUUGAUGGGAAAUAUGUCCCUUGCAGCAAUAAAAUUCUAUUACUUUAUUUUAGUUAGCAAAUGUACAUACUGCCCCAAACUCACGUCUCUGGGCAGUUUACAGUAAAACACCACACAUUAAAAAUGUUACAAUUGUUUAAUACAUUAAAAUAUUAAAGCAAUUUAAAAGAAUGAUAGAUUCUAGAUUCUUCAUCUUUAGCUCUAUUCAGACAAUAUGUUGUACAAGUGUCUCGGUGUGAAGGAAUGUGCCUGCACUCAUUUUGAAAGUGAAGCUGGAUUUGAGUUGUUCAAAUGCAGGAUUCAGAUAAGUGUACUGCUAUACCAUGUAACAUGUGAAGAACUGUACCUGUGUACAGAUUCUCCCUAGCACUAUUCAGACUUGUUGAACACUCAUACAAGUGUACAGAAAUAGCCCGAUUCAGACAUUACACUGUAUGGGUGUACACACGUGUUUGUGUGAAUGACUGCACCUAGGUUUAUUUGAAAAAUGAACCUAGAUACAGGCCCUUCAAAUGUAUGAGACAGACAGGACGUUUCCUUCUAUACCUGCCUUCAACAUAACAUGGGAAUGAAUGGCUAUACCUGUGUACACUGUACACUGGUCCAUCUAGCUCAGUAUUGCCUUCUCAGACUGGCAGCGGCUUCUCUGAGGUUGCAGGAAGGAAUCUCUCUCAGCCGCUUUGCAACGUACUGUAUGCUUUGGUAGUUCGUUGGUUCAAUAAAAAAAUCUUGUCCUAUUAAAAAAAUAAAUAAA